CAUAGCUGUAACAGCAAGAGAGGUUCAUCAGAUCAGUAACUAAGCCCCAACCCAGAAGGAAACAGAUGUGGGCUGCUUGAGGGGAGAGAGGAGGGUCUUCUUGUGGGAGCUGACGAGAAUGAGGGGACCCUCAGAGAUUCUGACGGGAAAUUCAGUGCAAAGGUUGGUACCCCAUCCAGGAUAUCUGUGCCUUGUGCCCUAAGAGUACCACUUAUCCUAUGGAUACUACAGGACAUGCCGAGCACUUACGCUAAUGGAGCUAAGUGGAAUGAAUGGAGAAAGUGAUGCAGAGAGUCACUGCACAUGAAGAGAUGUGGAGGUGAUGUAAUAUACAGUAGUUUUUUUCUUUUAGAGUGUAAAUAGCCAUCACUCAGGCCUGAUUGUGCUUAUUAAAGGAUGCAGAGAUGUUGAACAUGAGUAUGAAAAAAACAGGAAAAUCGCUUCUCGGCCUUUUGGCUAAGAUCAAGUGUAGUAAAAAAUACAGGAAAAAUACAGGAAAUCAUGGUACAAGUGUCAAAGUGACCACUCACACAUUCCUAUAGAACUGUUUCUCUGGUGUUACCAUAAUAGCCAGUAAACAUACAGUGAGUGCAUCAUACGUGACGCAGUAAAUGACAGCUGAUGAGCACAGAACAAUGGAGAGCUGACUGACCAAAUGACCACUAAACACAAUUAAUAUGCUGAAUCAGCCUGACCUUCAGGGCUAACAGGAUUUCUGCACUCACAUACACAAUAUCCACUCAAAUUUACUGCUUUAGCCUUAACACAGCAAGGGCAAAUAAGGCAGGGAUAAGAACCCAGUGGAUUAUGUUGUGGAACCGACCUCAACAGUGGCAAUGCUCUACUAGCUUAAUCUAAUGCUUCCUCCAAAUAUCAAACAUGUUAAAGAGGAACGUUAUAAACAUUACAUUCAAAGCAAAAAGCAGUAACCUUACAGGUCUGUUUUCUUUGUGCAAUUCGAGUAACCAGUGUUGACAAUGGGGUUGAUUUCUUUAUAGCCCACUGCAGACUGAAUAAUGUCCAUUUGAGCUGGUAUCAUCAGAAAUCAAGAAAUCGCAUACAAAACAGUCAUAAGUGCAUCAGUAUGAAACAGUGUGGAUUAUAAACCCAUCCUUCUUUCCCUAAAAUUCUAUUGGAGGAAAAACUAAAAGACUAAUAUAAUAAUAAAUAAUAUGAGAAAAAUAUAAAAACACCAGUCAAUCACAGUAUUGUCACAAAAAAAAUCACAAAAAAAGUUUAGCGCUUCUUGGUUUGAAUGUAAGGGUUACAACUUUCCCCUUUUUCAUGUCUGGUAUUUGGAGGAAACACGGCAUAAAGCUGGUAAAGAGAUAAUGCGAGGGUUAUAUCUGGGGUAAAACCCAUGCGGGUCCAAUGGUCCUCCAUGAUGACACAAAACAGUGAGAGGUCAAGGUUCAAGAACUACAAUACAUUGUAGCUCUCACAUUUAAUAUCACAUCACUCAAAAAUACAAGAAGAACAUUUUGUGCAGCAAGAUUUUGUUUAAAUGCAAUCAGUAAAUGCUCAGUUAAUACAUGUAAAUAACAUGGGAUUAGACCACAGAGCUGGACUCUCUAAUUGGUUACACAGCAGCCAGUCACAAGGCCAGUGGUCACUGUGUAUCUGGGGAAGUGGCUUUGGACAAUAAUCAGAUCAGCUGCUCACUACUCCACCCAAUUCCACAAACUAGAUGAUUGCAGAAGUUCUCUUCAUCCUCAUUGAUUUAAUGACCUACUUUCAAAACAAAGCAAACCAAAAAAAAUCUUUGACCUUUUUUUUUUUUAACUUCAUCCAAUUUAA